GAUUUUCUUCUCUCUAGAUUGGAUUUUUUACUUGUCUCCUUCCUUUUUUCGAGAAUUUCAGAUUUUUUUUCCUUAAAUUUUCAAAAUUUCAACAAUAAAUGGCAAAAAUCAAGGGAAACUAUGUAAUCCUGCAUUAGAUUCAAUUUACCAACUUUAUUAACUCCUAAAUUCGACUUGAAAGAAAAGGGAUACGAUGUUACAGGGGGUACGAAAAAG
rnacentral:lncRNA from 1 species